rnacentral:rRNA from 1 species
GAUGAACGCUGGCGGCGUGCCUAAUACAUGCAAGUCGAGCGCGAGAAUGAGGAGCUUGCUCCUCAUGAUCGAGCGGCGGACGGGUGAGUAACACGUAGGCAACCUACCCUUGAGAUUGGGAUAACUACCGGAAACGGUAGCUAAUACCGGAUACGACUUUUCCACAUAAGUGGAAUUGUUAAAAGGCGGAUUUAUCUGCCGCUCAUGGAUGGGCCUGCGGUGCAUUAGUUAGUUGGUGAGGUAGUGGCUCACCAAGGCGACGAUGCAUAGCCGACCUGAGAGGGUGAUCGGCCACACUGGGACUGAGACACGGCCCAGACUCCUACGGGAGGCAGCAGUAGGGAAUCUUCCGCAAUGGACGCAAGUCUGACGGAGCAACGCCGCGUGAGUGAUGAAGGGUUUCGGCUCGUAAAACUCUGUUGUUAAGGAAGAACACUUGAGGUAGUAACUGGCCUUGAGAUGACGGUACUUAACCAGAAAGCCACGGCUAACUACGUGCCAGCAGCCGCCGUAA